GCGCAUACUUGUUGGGGAAAAAGUUUGAUCAGUCUACGAUCAAGCCCUCGGUAUCAUACGAUGGCAGGGUCGGUAGGGUUAUGAAACCGCCGAGAGCUUUUUGAGUAGAACUGAAAGUUGGAUUGUUCAUCUACGAGAUUUGAGUUGAGUUUUAUUUCUUAUGUUCACGAGAGUAAAUAAAUUGGCCUCAUUUUUCUAUUAUGCCCAUUUAUAAAUUUUAAUCAUUUUACCAAUGUGUUUUUUAGGUGCCGUCAUAUCAAGGAGUAACUGAAACUCAAAAAACAAACCUGGAUCUCUCGAAGAUGUCUUUGCAAGAUCGCAAAUGACCUGCAACAAAUGUGCACAAUGAGUAUGCUGCGAAAAUCAUACACCUAGCUAGAAGAGUGAACAGGCGCGUAGCCAGGAGUUGGGGCAGGAGCGUGUAGCUAGGAGUUAGCGCAGGGGCGUGUAGCUAGGAAUUAAACAGGGGGCGUGUAGCUAGGAGUGAAACAGGUUGCGUGUAGCUGGAGUAAAAAAGGGAGCGUGUAGCUUGAAAAAAAAAAACAGGGGGUGUGCAGCUAAGAGUGAAACCGGGGUGUUCAACUAGGAGUGAAAAAGGGGGAAUGUUGCCGGAAAUGAAACAGGGGGCGUGUAGCUAGGAGUGAAUACAGGGGGUGUGCUACUAGGAGUGAAAAAGGGGGAGUUUAGCAAGAAAUGAGACAGGGGGCUUGUAGCUAGGAGUGAAAAAAGGGGGCGUGUAGCUAGGAGUGAAAAAUAGUGUAGCUAGGAGUGAAUACAGGUGGUGUUAUGUAGCUAUGAACGGGCACUCCCCCCUUAGAACCAUCAAAAUUUUUCUGAAAAAUAAUGCUUGCGUAGCAAAUACUGAUAGAAACUUCCAUAAAACAAUAAAAAAUGGCACAAGA